rnacentral:rRNA from 1 species
GACUGCCCUAUGGGUUGUAAACUUCUUUUAUAAGGGAAUAAAACGGGGAACGUGUUCCCCUUUGCAUGUACCUUACGAAUAAGGAUCGGCUAACUCCGUGCCAGCAGCCGCGGUAAUACGGAGGAUCCGAGCGUUAUCCGGAUUUAUUGGGUUUAAAGGGUGCGUAGGCGGAAUGAUCAGUCAGUUGUGAAAGUUUAAGGCUCAACCUUAAAAUUGCAGUUGAUACUGUCAUUCUUGAGUGUACAAGAGGUGGGCGGAAUUCGUGGUGUAGCGGUGAAAUGCUUAGAUAUCACGAAGAACUCCGAUUGCGAAGGCAGCUCACUGGGGUACAACUGACGCUGAGGCACGAAAGUGUGGGUAUCAAACAGGAUUAGAUACCCUGGUAGUCCACACAGUAAACGAUGAAUACUCGCUGUUUGCGAUAUACAGUAAGCGGCUAAGCGAAAGCGUUAAGUAUUCCACCUGGGGAGUACGCCGGCAACGGUGAAACUCAAAGGAAUUGACGGGGGCCCGCACAAGCGGAGGAACAUGUGGUUUAAUUCGAUGAUACGCGAGGAACCUUACCCGGGCUUGAAUUGCAGUGGAAUAUAUUAGAAAUAGUAUAGCCGUAAGGCCGCUGUGAAGGUGCUGCAUGGUUGUCGUCAGCUCGUGCCGUGAGGUGUCGGCUUAAGUGCCAUAACGAGCGCAACCCUUAUCAUUAGUUACUAACAGGUUAUGCUGAGGACUCUAGUGAGACUGCCGUCGUAAGAUGUGAGGAAGGUGGGGAUGACGUCAAAUCAGCACGGCCCUUACGUCCGGGGCUACACACGUGUUACAAUGGGGGGUACAACAGGCAGCUACCGGGCGACCGGAUGCUAAUCCCAAAAACCUCUCUCAGUUCGGAUCGAAGUCUGCAACCCGACUUCGUGAAGCUGGAUUCGCUAGUAAUCGCGCAUCAGCCACGGCGCGGUGAAUACGUUCCCGGGCCUUGUACACACCGCCCGUCAAGCCAUGGGAGCCGGGGGCACCUGAAGUACGUAACCGCAAGGAGCGUCCUAGGGUGAAACUGGUGACUGGGGCUAAGUCGUAACAAGGUAGCCGUACCGGAAGGUGCGGCUG